rnacentral:tRNA from 1 species
UAAAUUUUAAGUUAAUUAAACUAAUAGCCUUCAAAGCUAUAAUUAUGAAAAAUUUCUUAAAUUUAA